AGUGAACGCUGGCGGCGUGCUUAACACAUGCAAGUCGAACGAGAACGGAACAUAGCUUGCUUUGUUUGUCAGCUAAGUGGCGAACGGGUGAGUAAUGUAUAGCUAAUGUGCCCCUUGGAGGGGGAUAACAGUUGGAAACGACUGCUAAUACCCCAUACUCCUUCUAUCUUAAUGAUAGUUGGGAAAUGUUUUUUCGCCAAGGGAUCGGGCUAUAUGGUAUCAGUUAGUUGGUGAGGUAAUGGCUCACCAAAACAAUGACGCCUAGCUGGUCUGAGAGGAUGGUCACCCACACUGGAACUGAGACACGGUCCACACUCCUACGGGAGGCAGCAGUGGGGAAUAUUGCACAAUGGGGGAAACCCUGAUGCACCACCGCCGCGUGGAGGAUGACGCAUUUCGGUGUGUACACUCCUUUUAUAUAGGAAGAUAAUGACGGUACUAUAUGAAUAAGCACCGGCUAACUCCGUGCCAGCAGCCGCGGUAAUACGGAGGGUGCAAUCGUUACUCGGAAUCACUGGGCGUAAAGCGCGCGCAGGCGGUUUGAU
rnacentral:rRNA from 1 species